GUUGCCUCAAGGAAACCCUUAGUGGUGCAGUGGUUUAGUUGAUUGACUAAAAAUCGGAAAACCCUCCAAUAUAUUCCGUAGAUAUUUAACUUAUACUGGAUAACAAGAUUGUUUUAUUACCUUUUGGUAAAUUUCAAAGUGAUAGGAGUUUGUGAUACAACGUGUUUUGGUGUUGUUCAUAAAAUCAUUUAAAAGAAAAUUUUGCUCCUAUGAAUAAGGUCACAAGCCGGCCUAUUUAGGGGGAAGCAAACCCAAGUUGAUCCUUUCUUUGGUUUUGAGCAAGAACGAAUAUUGUUGGAUAAAAUUUCCGGAUUCUACUGACGUU